rnacentral:rRNA from 1 species
CGAAGGUGGCGAGCGUUACUCGGAAUUACUAGGCGUAAAGCGUGGGUAGGUGGUUCGGCAAGUCUGUUGUGGAAGCUCCUGGCUCAACCGGGAGAGGCCAAUGGAUACUACCGAGCUUGAAUGUGGGAGAGGUCACUGGAAUUCCUGGUGUAGCGGUGAAAUGCGUAGAGAUCAGGAGGAACACCGAUGGCGAAAGCAGGUGACUGGACCACUAUUGACACUGAGCCACGAAAGCUAGGGGAGCAAACAGGAUUAGAUACCCUGGUAGUCCUAGCUGUAAACGAUGUUCACCAGAUGUGGGAGGUAUCGACCCCUCCCGUGUCGACGCUAACGCAUUAAGUGAACCGCCUGGGGAGUACGGCCGCAAGGUUG